rnacentral:lncRNA from 1 species
AACAUAUUAUUCUAUAUCAGUUUGACGAUAGAUGACUGAAGUUGUUGUUAUAACAUAGAAUUACAAGUUAAAAACGUCCCAAUUACACCAAAAAAAGCUAACUUGAAAACUCAUGUCCAGCUAAAUCAGAAACUUAUGUGAACUUGACAAUGUGGGUAAGUUGAGCACAGCAGGAUUCAAAACUGCCUCACGUGACUCCUACCGAGGUGCAUCAUGGGGAAUUGGCGGUUAACGACAUGCUCACUUUACUUGGACGUUUUCUAAUCGUCUUCUUUGGAAUAUGCUUUCAAGGUCUGUGAAGCCAAACUUGAUGCUGGGGAUUUAUUUUUGUCAGUGGAGUCAAAUGGUUGAAGCAGAAUUUGCCCGUCUUACAUCUGUUGACCUGAAAGGGUUCCUUUUUGCUGUGCUUGACCAUUAUGGAGAGGUUCGUGGAGCUGUAGAAAAUCAAGAGCGGCAUAGGAGGGCUAACUAG